rnacentral:misc_RNA from 1 species
CAACCCUCACGCCUAGCGUGGUAUUGGACUCGCCGCUGCGGCCUGUCUCAAAAGCAGUGGCGGCUUCGUAGAACCCCUAAGUGCAGUAAUAUCAUACCGCUUGUGGAGUGCUGCGCGGCUUGCCAGAAACCCCCACCAUACAA